GACUUUUAAAUUGUUUGGAUUAGAUUAUAACUAACCUUAAUCAGAUUCAGAUAUUAUAUACUGUCAUAGAUCUGCCCAAUGUUUAAACAACACUUUUGUGUUGAUGUCAGGUUAUAAAGAAAUCAAGAAAUAGGCUUCCAUGGAGGCGAAGGAGUAGCAGCAAUUCUAGAUCUGCAAAGAAUAUCAUCAAAGCCUGCAAUUUUGUGGUAAGUGUAUGUUUCAUUUAAGCUAUAAGGUAUAUGUUGGAUCAAUGUAUAAGAAUGGUUUAAACUUUAACUACAACCAAUAAUCCUCGUUGUAAGUAUAUAUUCUCAUCCUAACGAGUUAGACAGCAACCUAAUUUAUGCCGAUUCGACAAAAAAUCAAUAAAAAUAGAUAUUCAAAACUCAAAUUAAAUUUUCUGUGUACUCCAUUUUCUUAACAUAUAUAAUUUGUCAUUUGAAAAACUUACCGAUUAAGUAAUUGUUAUGGUGUCAAGGGCUAAAAGAACCCUAAUACAAGUUGUUUGAUUGUUGUCACCUUAUGAUUCUUAUAAUUUUAAUUAGCCAAAUAGUUUUAGUUUAAUGUGGGAUUUUGGGUUUAUCUUUCCUAGAGACACAAACUUAUACUACCGUUGUUUCUAACUAGAAAAUUUUGUUGACCAAAUCACGAAAGAAAGUUGAUAAUAAGAUAUAUGGUGGAUCAAUGUAUCAUAAUGGUUUAAACUUUAACUACAACCAAUUACUUGUUUUGUAAGUGUAUAUGCUCAUUCUCAAGAGUGAGAGAACAACUUAAUUGAUGAUGAUUCAACAAAAACAAAAUAGAUAUUAAAAAACUCAACUUAAGUUUUCUCUUAUUUGUGUUGAAUUGACACCAAUUUUUUAUAGUGGGUGGUGGAAUCCUCCACUUAUUUACCAAGAUAGUUGUUUGUUGGUUUCUUGAUUUUUGUGUUGGCCAUGAAUUGUUGAUGUUGCUUGUUCUAGUCAAUCUUUUUUUUUUUUUUUAUUAAACUAGUUUUUUUUUUUUUUUUACCAUUUUUUCUUUAAUUCAUAUUAUUUCAAUAGAUCCUGACUCAUAUAUAUAAUUUUUCAUUUAAGAAUUCAUCGAUUAAGUAAUUGUUUCAGUGUUAUUUACAUAUAAAGAACCCUAAAAUUCUACUUAAUGACGACUAUAUCAAUUGUUGUCGAACUUUUGAACAUUUUUAAAAGGAGAACAUGUUGCUUGAUUAUUGUUGCCUUAUAUUAUUAUAUUUCUAAUUAUCCAAAUUGUUUUGUUUCAUGCGGAAAUAGGUUUAUCAAAAUAUAAUACAUCCAAAUCAAGUUACUUGAGCUCUAGUUGUAAAAAGCUCCUUCCAAAGACGUAUCCGAGGAAUAUCGGGUUCGAUUUUUAGGGGGAACAACGUUUAGCCAGUGCGCAUGCCUCUACGCACGAGUCAGACUAGUCGUCCACCUUUGGUGGGUCGGAAACCGGUGCGAAUGAAAAAAAAUAUAAUACAUCUGUUUCAAAAUAUAUAAUUUUGUUGAUCAAAUCACGGAAAUUUAGAAGAGAAUGCCUUAAUAUAGUCGUAUUAAGAUAAACCGUAUAUUUCCAUUUUAGUUAUAUAUGCUGAUUUCUUGUCAAAAAAAAAAGUAAUAUAUGUUGAUUUGGUAUUAUAAUAUACAUAAUACAUUAUGUACACAUUACAGGACAUAUACAACACUAGUUUAUUUUUUAUAGUGAUAUUGUUCCUAUUGGUUUGCAUCUCCAAAACAUACUAGCAGAUUAUUGAAAAUUGAAGCUAGUUUGGGAACUUCGAUAUAUCAAAACAACACUUACAUAUGUAAUGGACAUUAUUUUAAGUUUCCAUGAUGAUCAAGGCUUUGGCUUUACUACUAAAAUCACCUGUGAUUGGUGGACCAAUCUUUUUCAAGUUGGACCCUUAUCGGUACACUCUAUCUCCAUGGGAGAGAUACU
rnacentral:lncRNA from 1 species